GAUUAACGCUGGCGGCGUGCAUAACACAUGCAAGUCGAACGAUGAAACUUAGUAGACUUCUUCGGAAAGACACUAAGCGGAUUAGUGGCGAGCGGGUGAGUAACGCGUGAGUAACCUGCCUUACACAAGGGGAUAGCCUUUGGAAACGAAGAAUAAUACCCUAUAAAACUAUAAAAGCACAUGCUAGAAUGGUCAAAGUGCUAGCGGUGUAAGAUGGACUUGCGUCUGAUUAGCUAGUUGGUGAGAUAAAAGCUCACCAAGGCAACGAUCAGUAGCCGGCUUGAGAGAGUGUACGGCCACAUUGGGACUGAGACACGGCCCAGACUCCUACGGGAGGCAGCAGUGGGGAAUUUUGCACAAUGGGGGAAACCCUGAUGCAGCGACGCCGCGUGAUUUAGAAGGCCUUCGGGUUGUAAAAAUCUUUUGUAUAGGAAGAAAAUGACAGUACUAUACGAAUAAGGUCCGGCUAAUUACGUG
rnacentral:rRNA from 1 species